GAGGAGCCUCGCACGAUCCUCUUCUCGCUCACUGGCCCGCAGCCACUCCUCCUCAAUCCCUCUCCUCCUCUCAUCAAUCUUCCGCUCGUAGGCGCGGCCAUCUCCCCGACCCCCCUGCUCGAUCCCCGUCGCCCUCCUCUCCUACCUCGUGCCUCUGCUUCUCCUCGCGUCGCCCAGAGCGCUCUCGCGCCGCCAUCGUGGCUCUGCCGGACACCGGCGACCCGGAGCGCCACGUCUCCACCCCUGCCAUGUGCACCGCGCCUAUCUUCGUCGACACCAACAGGUGCAGGAGCCCUCAUGGCUGUCGCCACCGUCCUGCCUACUCCAUUGGAGCUCCGCGCCACCGGAUUGGGUCGCCUCCACCUUGGAGCUCUACCUCCCUGCUUCGCCAGUGGCUGCAUCCCCAUCGUGCCCGAGGACAAGCCCUUCGAGCAGGAGGGCUUCUCCUGCCCGAACCCUCAAGGAGAGCUGUUGCCGUGCGCACCUCCUCCCGUCCCCAGCGCCUGUCAUUGCCCCGCACCUCACCCCGCGUCCAAGCCGUGCUAUCGCCGCUAUUGCACCUACGGCCUCCUAUCUUGCUUCUUUUUGGACCAGCAAGAACGUCACGAAGAACCCUAUGCAGACGCAUCGUCUCCAGGAUUUUGGCCAAGUACCUCUACAUGCGGACUCACCAAGUACACGACUCGGAUGCGCCAAGUUUGACUAUGAACGGCUACACGUCCGACCCCGUAUUCGAUCCUCAAGCGCCAAGUUCCACUACCGCUGUCGUGAAUCCGACGAGACCAAGUGUACAACUACGCCCAGCGAUGCAACAAGUACCUCUACCGUCGACGUGUACGACGACCUUCGACA